CCAUAAGAGCAGCCACAUCCCUAGCUACAGUACCGCGAAUGAUUGAUUCUCCUUUGCCUGUUGCAGAAACUGCACAGAGACUGUUGGCAUAUGUCCCUGCACCUAUUAUGGGUGUGUCCCCAAUCCUACCCACCAUUUUGUUUACCAAUCCACCAGUAGAAGUUGCAGCAGCCAAGUUCCCAUUCCCGUCAACAGCCACACAUCCGACAGUUCCAAUUUGGCUAUCUCCAUCACCAUCAGCAAUUGGAUUUUCAGUUUUCCCAUCUUUUUGAAUGGGUUGUGUAUAAUCAAUCUGCACUCUGUUAGCUUCUUUUGCCUGUUUUAGCCUCUCAACAUUUUCAGGAGUCACAAAAUGACUCGAAUUAACAGUCUCAACACCCU
rnacentral:misc_RNA from 1 species